rnacentral:rRNA from 1 species
GUGCCAGCAGCCGCGGUAAUACGGAGGGUCCAAGCGUUAUCCGGAAUCAUUGGGUUUAAAGGGUGCGCAGGCGGUAAAGUAAGUCAGUGGUGAAAUCUCUCGGCUCAACCGAGAAACUGCCAUUGAUACUGCUAUACUUGAAUAUAGUUGAAGUAGGCGGAAUGUGACAUGUAGCGGUGAAAUGCUUAGAUAUGUCACAGAACACCGAUAGCGAAGGCAGCUUACUAAACUAAAAUUGACGCUCAUGCACGAAAGCGUGGGGAGCGAACAGGAUUAGAUACCCCGGUAGUCC